AGAGUUUGAUCCUGGCUCAGGACGAACGCUGGCGGCGUGCCUAAUACAUGCAAGUCGAGCGAGCGGAACUAACAGAUUUACUUCGGUAAUGACGUUAGGAAAGCGAGCGGCGGAUGGGUGAGUAACACGUGGGGAACCUGCCCCAUAGUCUGGGAUACCACUUGGAAACAGGUGCUAAUACCGGAUAAGAAAGCAGAUCGCAUGAUCAGCUUUUAAAAGGCGGCGUAAGCUGUCGCUAUGGGAUGGCCCCGCGGUGCAUUAGCUAGUUGGUAAGGUAAAGGCUUACCAAGGCGAUGAUGCAUAGCCGAGUUGAGAGACUGAUCGGCCACAUUGGGACUGAGACACGGCCCAAACUCCUACGGGAGGCAGCAGUAGGGAAUCUUCCACAAUGGACGCAAGUCUGAUGGAGCAACGCCGCGUGAGUGAAGAAGGUUUUCGGAUCGUAAAGCUCUGUUGUUGGUGAAGAAGGAUAGAGGUAGUAACUGGCCUUUAUUUGACGGUAAUCAACCAGAAAGUCACGGCUAACUACGUGCCAGCAGCCGCGGUAAUACGUAGGUGGCAAGCGUUGUCCGGAUUUAUUGGGCGUAAAGCGAGCGCAGGCGGAAGAAUAAGUCUGAUGUGAAAGCCCUCGGCUUAACCGAGGAACUGCAUCGGAAACUGUUUUUCUUGAGUGCAGAAGAGGAGAGUGGAACUCCAUGUGUAGCGGUGGAAUGCGUAGAUAUAUGGAAGAACACCAGUGGCGAAGGCGGCUCUCUGGUCUGCAACUGACGCUGAGGCUCGAAAGCAUGGGUAGCGAACAGGAUUAGAUACCCUGGUAGUCCAUGCCGUAAACGAUGAGUGCUAAGUGUUGGGAGGUUUCCGCCUCUCAGUGCUGCAGCUAACGCAUUAAGCACUCCGCCUGGGGAGUACGACCGCAAGGUUGAAACUCAAAGGAAUUGACGGGGGCCCGCACAAGCGGUGGAGCAUGU
rnacentral:rRNA from 1 species